rnacentral:rRNA from 1 species
GAUGAACGCUGGCGGUAUGCCUAACACAUGCAAGUCGUACGAGAGUUUUUAACUCUAGUGGCGGACGGGUGAGUAACACGUGAGAAUUUGCCUUUAGGAGGGGAUAACAAUUGGAACGAAAUGCUAAUACCCCACUAUGCUUUUGAGUGAAAUAGGAUUUUAUUCCGCCUAGAGAGAAGCUCGCGGCUGAUUAGCUUGUUGGUAAGGUAAGAGCUUACCAAGGCGACGAUCAGUAUCUGGUUUGAGAGGACGAUCAGACACACUGGAACUGAGACACGGUCCAGACUCCUACGGGAGGCAGCAGUGGGGAA